GGUUGGGGGGAGUCUUAGGGAAACAGCCGGCCUGGCGCUGGCCUGGCGCUGGCCGGGUGCUGGGCAGGCCGAGGCUGCCCGCGGGAGCUGGUUUUGUUUCUUCCCCUCCAGCCCAGCUCCUUCUCUCUCUAUUUUUUCCCUUAAACCAGAGGGAAUUCCUAAUAAAGCCACCGCGGACUCGCAGAAAGACGGGGGAGGGAAAAGGCGCCAGGGACGGGAAGAGGCGGGUGGAACCUGCGGGGCUCCGAGGCCCACGAGGAAACGCGUGUGCGCAACCGGCCCGCAUCCCACGCCGCACAGAGCCCGGCGUCCGGCCCGCGCUCUCCUCCUGCCCGCGGUGCUGUGUGCGCGGGCGUGCACGGGCUGGCACCUUCGCGGGGUGACCCUCCCCUCCCCUGGGCUGUGCUUUUUCAAAGCACCGUGACACAGAGCUGGAACCGCGGGACGCCGGCUGCACCCUCCGUGCUCACCGAAGCCACCUCCACCCCGCCCACCCUGCUCCGUGCUCUGCAGACGGCCUCUGCGUCCCUGGGCCUCUCCGGCCACAUCUGGACGAACACGUUUUGAGCAUCACCUAUGUACCGAGCGCUAUGCCAGGUAUGCAGAGGGAUGGAUGCGGCGUCUCUCCAGGCGUUUACCGUCUGGAAGGGGAUGCGUACAGUCAGAGAAGACCGGAUCCGUCUUUCCGGAAACGUUUUCUAAGCGCUGUGCUACACUCAGGUCCCCUUCCAGGUCCCUGAUGGCCAGCGGCCCCGAAGCCCGCCGCUUUUUUCCUCCCGAUGGUAAGGAAUUUGAGGACGAGGUCCGAUCUCGCAUCCUCAUCAUGCCUAGCUCAGGAGUAAGUGCCGGGAAAACGCGUUUUCAAUGCAGGGAAGGAAAAAAGCGGGAGGCGGGGAAAUGCGAAGGAGAAAUUCUCUGACUCCUGGGGUAAUGGAUACCCGAACGUGAACGGAACUGGAGAGAAGCCCAGGACCGCCGUUUCCUCUGAGAGCCAGCCGCGGGGGUGGCCGUGGUGGCCGCAGCUCGAGCUGCCCUUGGAGACGGAACCAGAGCGUCUCCGCGUGGACGCUGCCGGGGCGGGGCGGGAGAGCACUGCAGAAGGCCCCGCCCCGCUCCGGGUGACCUGGGCGUCGGGAGGUUGGGCCGGCUAGACAAGGGCCGGGGCCAAAAGCAAACCUGCGAGACAGCUGCCCCUGUCCCCCCUCAGACGCCUCGUUAUUGUCUUUUCCCUUCCCUCCUGGCUUAAGGGACCAAAACCCAACUCCACGGCGAGAAGCGAGUUGUCCUGAGAAUGUAAAUUAGGUGAAUGUAGAUCCCAAUUCACAAAGGACAGAACGUUCACGCCUCUUCUGUCCCGCACUUACCGGGCCGGGUCCACCGCAUCUCUUAAGAUGCGUUUUCUCAGGCAACCACGAGUUUCUAAGGGGAGGGGCUUCUCGCUGAUCCUUCUUUUUGGUAGCAAGUACCCCACAAAUGUUAAUAAAUGGAUAAACAUUUAUCCUUUUUGGAUAAAUAGGUAAAACAGUGUUUCAAUUCAAAAAAUAUUAACUGAGUAUCUCCUGUGUGCUGGGCAUAUAAAUCCUGAUCGCUUUCCAGAAAUUCUUUAAUCUAAUGAGGGGAUCAGAUCGUAAACCAAUAGCUGCAAUAGAAGCUGGUGAGUGCUGGGGGGAGGCUAUGCCCGAAGACGUUAGGGAAACAUGAAGCGUGACGUUUUGCUCGUCGUUGUUGCUCAGACGCUGUUUAGAACAACGUCUACAUCAUCGCUUAGCACUGUAUUAUCUGAACUACAGAGAAACUUUGCACAGGGCCUAGAACGAGAGAAAAAUCCACUUCCCCUAAACGACUGAUCUGUUUCCAACUUUAAAUGUUUUGAAAUUUGAAACUAAUCCCGUUUCCCUUUUUGCUUUGGCUACUAGGAAGCGGAGUCAAAUCUGUAGCUGACCUCUACGAGGUCUGGAAUGAUCAAGAUCCUGGACUAGUUCGAUCCAAGAGUUAAGUAGCUAUUUCCUUAUCAGCAAAGAUCGGGAAGAAAGGACUUAGGCAUUCAGUGUUACACAGUAACGUUCACUUGCGUUUUAUUUUUCUACCUAGAGUUUCUCUCCUAAUUUCCCCAUUUAUUUAGUCUGUCUCUUUGUAUCAUGUGUAUCUUUCGGUGAGCUGUCUGAAUUGCACUUUGAAAUGAGAUGAGCGAUAAAUAAGAUACGUAACAGGUUCCGUUGAUAAACAGAAGACAAUUAUAUCCCUAAUGUAAUCAUCCCCCUCAAAAAGGAAAAUUCAUACAGCCAUUAGGAAAACAGCAGGAAGAAAAUAUAAACACGGGGGAAGCCGGGGACAGACGCUGCGCUAGGGCAGAGCAGUUCAAUUUCUUGGGUAAAACCGUCUUCCUGGCGUCACACCGUUUCCUGAACACUGCAUUUAAGCACAGGAGACCUGCGGUCCCUUCCAGCGCCUGGGGUGAUAUGGUGACGACAGGCCCAGCAAGUGCCACCGUCACCUGGACGUCAUCUGCACCCAGGCCCCUCGCAGCGGCCUGUUCUCUGGGCUAACCUGGCCCCUUGGGAGCGGACGUCCCGUCGUCAACACUGAGGGUGCCACCUAUGGAAAAGGAGCCGUCCUGACAAGCCCUGUACCCGGAGAGACGAGGUGUCUGCUCGUCACUGAGGCCUCCACCUGAACGUCCUCCGAGCAGCCACACCUGGAGUGCGGGCGCACACAGGGGGAACAGGGACCGCAGGACCAGGAGGGUGUGCGAGGACAGACCUGGACCCUGUGUAUGUUCCUAUCAACACCCCGGGGCACCCCCGGCUUCUAAGAAGGAACCAGAGAAGGAGCUGUGUGCACACGCGCGCACACGCGCGAGGGGCAGUCCAGCUUCAGGCCGCCUACGGAAACGAGCCACGCUCGCGGCCGGGAAGCAGGCAGGUAGGUUCUCACGAGGCUGCCGGCAGAGGCCUGAUGGGAAUCAGGGACGGGCCCAAGGAGCACCGGACCGCCGUCCCCACACCGGCAUUCCGCAGCCGGCCACGGCCCAGCGGCUGAGCCUGCGGCCUGAGACUCGGCACCGGAGCUGGACACGGAAACCGACUUGCUUUUCUGGACAACUGAGUAAGAUUCCACAGAACCGUCUUGGAAGAAUCACAAUCUGAAGGGCCAUCGCUCAAUGGGAAUGGAUAUUUUUAUAGAAAAAGCUAUAUUUAGUAAAUUUCCUGAGGAAAAUCUAUUGCAACUCAGCCUCUUGUUACCUGUCUGACUUUAGGUACAUUAUUACACUCUCUGAAUCUCCGCCUCCUCAUCUUAAAAACGGGGGUCGUAAUGGCGGCACUACCUGCCGUUAAGUGGUCUGCACGCACGACUGUCACCACCUGGAGACGGGAGGGCGCCCUGCCCCACAGGGAAGCAGCGUCCCACGCCGGCUGACACUUUCUCUUCAGCCUAAGGUGACGCCAACGCCCUUCUCCCCGCCUGGGCCUGGAGCGCUCCGCCUCCAGAUGCCCUGUGCAGAGUGAACACGCGGGUAAGGGGACAGCUCGACCGUCUCCUGAGCCCGCGCCCCUUCCUCGGUGGACCGGCACUGCGGACAGAUGGCGUCUGCGUUCCAGGAGCCGGGGGGGCCUCCAGGGCUGGCCUGCCCCAGGAACUGGACCGAACCAGCUCCUACACCAGUUCGAUCCAAAGAAACAAGCACCAGCAGGAUGGCGGGGCUGACCGCGGUGAGAAGGCCGUCCCGGGCAUCCCAGAACCCUUAAGGAGGCAGGAGGUCCAAGGGCACAAGGCCUCAGAGAGCGUCAAGAAAGCAUCUCUGUCUGUCUCCCCGCGGCAAGAACCCCAGAGCGGAGAGGUAAAUUCCACACUUCCCCCAGCCUCCCUCAGGCCCCUCGGCGCAGACCACACAGCUUAAGCCGCCCCGGUGAGCAAAUGUCACCGAAGGCCUGCUCGGCGGGUGGUA